GUCACUCCCGUGCGACUGCGACGACUGCAGCUCAAUAUUAUAUUAUUUGUGCUUGAUAGAUUCGCGGCUUGUGUCUGUUUUGAGGAUUUUCUGCAUCUCUAGGACACGAUGUUUGUCCGAGUUGGUCAUUAUCAUCGUCCGUUAACACAUGUAUCGAGUCAGAUGAGUUUAGUUAACAGAGUCUUUAGUUUAGCAAUUAUUUAAAACUUCUUUGUUUGUAGGUUAUUGGCUGAAUAUAUAAAACUAACAAGGCUGUGUUGUUGUGGAUGUUUGAUGCAUGUUUAUUUUAAGGGAGUGUUUAUGAUAGUUGGGAGAGAAUGAAAAUGAAAGAAUGGAAGUUUAAAGGAAAAGAUGAAUAAAUAAAUCAUGAUUGCAUUACAGUUCAGUAAAUGUCUAAAUGCAAAUAAACCGCGAAUCACCAAAAAAUAAAAGUUCUGAAAGAUAGAUGGUGACAAACAUCAUGUUGUAACAGACUGAACGCGGAAACAAAGACGAGAAACACGUGUCAGUGAAUCACACGAUCAUUAAAGGUAGUUUUUCCUCACUAUAGUAAAUAAAUCCACAGCAGCGUAUUUGAAAAGCUCCAGAAAGUUGCAGUGGUUUCUCUACUGAAGGACGUCUGGACAGAUGGAGAGUUCACUGACUGGCCCGUAUCUCUUCCCGAACAAUCAACCAAUCAGCAACACUUCUGUUUAUGUCUGCUGAAUGAAUAAAACAUGUCAGGAUUUCAGUUUACUGGAUUUAUAUUAAUGUCAUGGUAAUAUAACACACAGCACAGUCAUAUAAAUAUACUUUAUAUUCUUUAAGAAAUAAGAAAAGGUUUGUUAGAUUUACUCUGAUAAAUGAAUAUGGAAAUAUAUAAUCAAGCUGUGUGAAAUCGUGUGUUAUUGGCAGGUCUUUACUCACACAGAGUUUACAUACACUCUUCAUAACCAGGGUUUUACAAUCAUUUUCACACAUUUGUCCACCCAAUCUCUACAUUCAGUUGUCUUUUGUUGUCUUAAAUAUAUAAAUGUAAAAAAAUCUGGUAUGUAUGAUUUACAAGCUGCUUUUCUGGUAUUGAUAGUAAUAACACACACUCUCACACACACACACUCACGUAGAGGAAAGUAUUGGGUCACUCUGUGUCUACAAGUGUUGAACAUCCUAAAUAUUUUCAGAAAAUAAAGCUUAAGUACCAAGGAGACAAGAUACAGUAGCAUGUGUCUGUUACAUUAAAUGCGGAGUUUAGUUACAAAAAACCUAAAAAAAAAAUACAUAAAAUAAUUUCACUCAGUACUUCCAGAGAGGAAAGAAGUGUUUAUAAGUGUUGAACAUCUCUCUGGCUCACUGUCUUUCCUUGAUACAUCUUUUUAUAACACAAGAACAAUUUGUGUAUAAUCACAAUAUAAAUGCCACAGCCAUCAACAACAAGAACACAUGAACCAACAUUUUAAACAUCCAAACCUGUAUGACUGACUUUCUUCUGCUGAACACAACAUAUUAUAUUUUGAAGCAUGCUGGUAACCAAACACUUCCAUAGUAUAGAAAUAAAAAUACACUGGAAGCCGACGGGAACCCUAAACUAUUUGGUUACCAACAUGCUUCAAAAUAUCUUCUUUUGUGUUCUGCAGAAGAAGGUCAUACAGGUUUGGAAUGGCAUGAGGGUGAGUAAAUGAUUAUUAUAUUAUUUUUGGGUGAACUAUCCUUUUAAUCUGACAAAAUCAUCUCAACGUAAAUUCCUGAACUUGGCAUGUGACUGACUGCCUGUGUCUGGUAGAUGCUCUGACCUGCUGCUGGUCCUGAAGUCUGACCACACUGACUCUGACUAGCCUCAGCUAGGGAGCUGCUCUGGGGUCUGUUUGUACCUGAUCUGCCUGUUUGUGCUUCUUUAAAAAGAUAUCUCUCCCUUUCUUUUCAUGUUUAAUUGAUCCUGUGCAAAAAUAUGACAGCCUAUGAUUACAUCUAAUCAUCCAAUUACCAACAUUU